rnacentral:ncRNA from 2 species
UUUCGUUCUCGGGGCGGGGUGAAAUUCCCCACCGGCGGUAAAGACUCUCUUUAUGUAUAUUAAUACAUAGAUAAAGUUUAAGCCCGCGAGCGCCUUUAAGCCUUUUUAUAUUAAAGUGCCUUUAGGGUCAGCAGAUCUGGUGUGAUUCCAGAGCCGACGGUUACAGUCCGGAUGAUAGAGAGCGUGU